CCUACGGGUGGCAGCAGUGGGGAAUAUUGCACAAUGGGGGAAACCCUGAUGCAGCGACGCCGCGUGAGUGAAGAAGGAUCGCGGCAUGUAAAGCUCUAUCAGCAGGGAAGAAAAUGACGGUAACUGACUAAGAAGCCGCGGCUAACUACGUGCCAGCAGCCGCGGUAAUACGUAGGGGGCAAGCGUGAUCCGGAUUUACUGGGGGUAGAGGGAGCGGAGACGGCGGGGCAAGUCCGGAGUGAACGCCCAUGGCUUAACCAUUGUACUGCUCUGGAUACUGUGGAGCUUGAGUGCGGGUGUGGCAGGCGGAAUUCCUUGUGUAGCGGUGCCAUGCGUAGAUAUUAGGUG
rnacentral:rRNA from 1 species